rnacentral:rRNA from 1 species
AGCGGCAGGCUUAACACAUGCAAGUCGAGGGGCAGCGGGGAGGAAGCUUGCUUUCUCCGCCGGCGACCGGCGCACGGGUGAGUAACACGUAUGCAACCUGCCCCUGUCAGGGGGACAACCCGCCGAAAGGCGGGCUAAACCCGCGUACAUGCCACCGGGGCAUCCCGGAGGCAGGAAAGGCUUCGGCCGGACAGGGAUGGGCAUGCGGCGCAUUAGGCAGUAGGCGGGGUAACGGCCCACCUAACCGACGAUGCGUAGGGGUUCUGAGAGGAAGGUCCCCCACACUGGUACUGAGACACGGACCAGACUCCUACGGGAGGCAGCAGUGAGGAAUAUUGGUCAAUGGUCGGGAGACUGAACCAGCCAAGCCGCGUGAGGGAGGAAGGUACAGAGUAUCGUAAACCUCUUUUGUCAGGGAACAAAGGCGGGGACGUGUCCCCGGAUGAGUGUACCUGAAGAAAAAGCAUCGGCUAACUCCGUGCCAGCAGCCGCGGUAAUACGGAGGAUGCGAGCGUUAUCCGGAUUUAUUGGGUUUAAAGGGUGCGCAGGCGGUCUGUUAAGUCAGCGGUCAAAGCCCGGGGCUCAACCCCGGCCCGCCGUUGAAACUGGCAGUCUCGAGUUGGAGAGAAGUAUGCGGAAUGCGCGGUGUAGCGGUGAAAUGCAUAGAUAUCGCGCAGAACUCCGAUUGCGAAGGCAGCAUGCCGGCUCCACACUGACGCUGAGGCACGAAAGCGUGGGUAUCGAACAGGAUUAGAUACCCUGGUAGUCCACGCAGUAAACGAUGAAUGCUGGCUGUCCGGGGGGAUUGACCCCUGGGUGGCGAAGCGAAAGCGAUAAGCAUUCCACCUGGGGAGUACGCCGGCAACGGUGAAACUCAAAGGAAUUGACGGGGGCCCGCACAAGCGGAGGAACAUGUGGUUUAAUUCGAUGAUACGCGAGGAACCUUACCCGGGCUCAAACGGGGAGUGACUCAGGCAGAGACGCCUGUUUCCCACGGGACACUCCCCGAGGUGCUGCAUGGUUGUCGUCAGCUCGUGCCGUGAGGUGUCGGCUUAAGUGCCAUAACGAGCGCAACCCCCGCGUGCAGUUGCUAACAGAUAACGCUGAGGACUCUGCACGGACUGCCGGCGCAAGCCGCGAGGAAGGCGGGGAUGACGUCAAAUCAGCACGGCCCUUACGUCCGGGGCGACACACGUGUUACAAUGGGUGGUACAGCGGGAAGCCAGGCGGCGACGCCGAGCGGAACCCGAAAUCCACUCUCAGUUCGGAUCGGAGUCUGCAACCCGACUCCGUGAAGCUGGAUUCGCUAGUAAUCGCGCAUCAGCCAUGGCGCGGUGAAUACGUUCCCGGG